rnacentral:rRNA from 1 species
AUUGAACGCUAGCGGGAUGCCUUACACAUGCAAGUCGAACGGAGUGGCGAACGGGUGAGUAAUGUAUCGGAACGUGCCCCGUCGCGGGGGAUAACUACGCGAACGCGUAGCUAAUACCGCAUACUCUUGGAGCGGGCGGUAUCGGAUUAGCUAGUUGGUGGGGUAGCGGCUCACCAAGGCGACGAUCCGUAGCUGGUUUGAGAGGACGAGCAGCAACACUGGGACUGAGACACGGCCCAGACUCCUACGGGAGGCAGCAGUGGGGAAUGUUGGACAAUGGGGGAAAGCCUGAUCCAGCCAUCCCGCGUGUGCGAUGAAGGCCUUCGGGUUGUAAAGCACUUUUGGCAGGAAAGCGGUACCUGCAGAAUAAGCACCGGCUAACUACGUGCCAGCAGCCGCGGUAAUAC